rnacentral:rRNA from 1 species
UACGAAGGGGGGCUAGCGUUGCUCGGAAUCACUGGGCGUAAAGCGCACGUAGGCGGCUUUUUAAGUCAGGGGUGAAAUCCUGGAGUUCAACUCCAGAACUGCCUUUGAUACUGAGAAGCUUGAGUCCGGGAGAGGUGAGUGGAACUGCGAGUGUAGAGGUGAAAUUCGUAGAUAUUCGGAGGAACACCAGUGGCGAAGGCGGCUCACUGGUCCGGUACUGACGCUGAGGUGCGAAAGCGUGGGGAGCAACAGG